UACGUAGGUGGCAAGCGUUGUCCGGAAUUAUUGGGCGUAAAGCGCGCGCAGGCGGUCCUUUAAGUCUGAUGUGAAAGCCCACGGCUCAACUCUGGAAUUGCCUUUGAGACUGUAGAGCUUGAGUACGGGAGAGGUGAGUGGAAUUCCCAGUGUAGAGGUGAAAUUCGUAGAUAUUGGGAAGAACACCGGUGGCGAAGGCGGCUCACUGGCCCGUUUCUGACGCUCAGGCGCGACAGCGUGGGGAUCAAACAGG
rnacentral:rRNA from 1 species